rnacentral:rRNA from 1 species
GAGCGGAAAGGCCCUUCGGGGUACUCGAGCGGCGAACGGGUGAGUAACACGUGAGUAACCUGCCCCUAGCUCUGGGAUAGCUCCGGGAAACCGGGAUUAAUACCAGAUAUGACCACGAUAGACAUCUGCUGUGGUGGAAAGAAUUUCGGCUAGGGAUGGGCUCGCGGCCUAUCAGCUUGUUGGUGGGGUAACGGCCUACCAAGGCGACGACGGGUAGCCGGCCUGAGAGGGCGACCGGCCACACUGGGACUGAGACACGGCCCAGACUCCUACGGGAGGCAGCAGUGGGGAAUAUUGCGCAAUGGGCGAAAGCCUGACGCAGCGACGCCGCGUGGGGGAUGAAGGCCUUCGGGUUGUAAACCCCUUUCAGCAGGGACGAAGCGAGAGUGACGGUACCUGCAGAAGAAGCGCCGGCUAACUACGUGCCAGCAGCCGCGGUAAU